rnacentral:rRNA from 1 species
GAUGAACGCUGGCGGCGUGCCUAAUACAUGCAAGUCGAGCGAACAGAUGAGGAGCUUGCUCCUCUGACGUUAGCGGCGGACGGGUGAGUAACACGUGGAUAACCUACCUAUAAGACUGGGAUAACUUCGGGAAACCGGAGCUAAUACCGGAUAAUAUAUUGAACCGCAUGGUUCAAUAGUGAAAGACGGUUUUGCUGUCACUUAUAGAUGGAUCCGCGCCGCAUUAGCUAGUUGGUAAGGUAACGGCUUACCAAGGCAACGAUGCGUAGCCGACCUGAGAGGGUGAUCGGCCACACUGGAACUGAGACACGGUACAGACUCCUACGGGAGGCAGCAGUAGGGAAUCUUCCGAAAUGGGCGAAAGCCUGACGGAGCAACGCCGCGUGAGUGAUGAAGGUCUUCGGAUCGUAAACUCUGUUAUUAGGGAAGAACAAAUGUGUAAGUAACUAUGCACGUCUUGACGGUAACUAAUCAGAAAGCCACGGCUAACUACGUG